AUUGAACGCUGGCGGCAUGCCUUACACAUGCAAGUCGAACGGCAGCACGGGGCAACCUGGUGGCGAGUGGCGAACGGGUGAGUAAUGCAUCGGAACGUACCUUUCAGUGGGGGAUAACGUAGCGAAAGUUACGCUAAUACCGCAUAUUCUGUGAGCAGGAAAGCAGGGGAGCGCAAGACCUUGCGCUGAUUGAGCGGCCGAUGUCAGAUUAGCUAGUUGGUGAGGUAAAGGCUCACCAAGGCGACGAUCUGUAGCGGGUCUGAGAGGAUGAUCCGCCACACUGGAACUGAGACACGGUCCAGACUCCUACGGGAGGCAGCAGUGGGGAAUUUUGGACAAUGGGGGCAACCCUGAUCCAGCCAUGCCGCGUGAGUGAAGAAGGCCUUCGGGUUGUAAAGCUCUUUCGGCCGGGAAGAAAUCGCACGGGCUAAUACCCUGUGUGGAUGACGGUACCGGAAUAAGAAGCACCGGCUAACUACGUGCCAGCCGCCGCUGUAAAAC
rnacentral:rRNA from 1 species